AACGCACAUUGCGCCCCUUGGUAUUCCGAGGGGCAUGCCUGUUCGAGCGUCAUUACAACCCUCAAGCAAUGCUUGGUGUUGGGCCUCGCCGGUCACCCGGCGGGCUCUAAAAUCAGUGGCGGUGCCGUCGGGCUCUGAGCGUAGUAAUUCUUCUCGCUAUAGAGUCCCGGUGGAUGCUGGCCAACAACCCCCAAUUUUCUAUGGUUGACCUCGGAUCAGGUAGGGAUACCCGCUGAACUUAA
rnacentral:misc_RNA from 1 species